AGCAGCCGCGGUAAUUCCAGCUCCAAUAGCGUAUAUUAAAGUUGCUGCAGUUAAAAAGCUCGUAGUUGAAUUUCGGGACCAUCAUGUCGGUCGUGCCUCGGUACGUACUGGCAUUGUUGGUUUCUACCUUCUGACGAACCAUGAUGUCAUUUAUUUGGUGUCUUGGGGAAUCAGGACUGUUACUUUGAAAAAUUAGAGUGUUUAAAGCAGGCCCGCGCUUGAAUACAUUAGCAUGGAAUAAUGAAAUAGGACGUUUGAUUCUAUUUUGUUGGUUUCUAGGAUCGACGCAAUGAUUAAUAGGGAUAGUUGGGGGCAUUAGUAUUCAAUUGUCAGAGGUGAAAUUCUUGGAUUUAUUGAAGACUAACUACUGCGAAAGCAUUUGCCAAGGAUGUUUUCAUUAAU
rnacentral:rRNA from 1 species